AUGGUGCUUGGUGUUGGUCACUGGCGUAAGCAUUCUUUGUGUCUGACUCUUCCACCCUCUGGGCCUCGUGGGGAAGUGAAAGGACCAGGUGAUGUGGCUGGCCCCAGCAUCUUUGCUGCCCAGCAGGAAGGGUGUUCUGGGAGGUACCCGGAGGCCUUGGAAGGACAGGAGCCUGCUACUGUCCAGGCCUUGAGGGAGGGCCACAAGUCACAGGAAAAGGACACAGGUCUCAGGACCCAGUCACUCUGGGUCACCCAGGCCCCACCAGCCAGGGUGGUGCAGGACUUGCCUUCACUGAGUCACAUGGAGACCCUGGGAGUUUUUGAGCGGACCAGUGACUCGAUCCAACUUGGUUUUAACAGAUCACCCUGUGUACGGGGCUGGGCUGUCCUUGCGGGGCAGAGCAGAGAGCGCCACUGGGAGGGCUUCUUGGAAACCAGAGCAAGUGGUGGUGGUGAGGGGCAGUGCCACCAUGUGCUGGCCUGGGGCAGUGGGAAGAGAGGCAUUUGGGGCCAAUCAGAGAAGCAGGAGCAGCGGGCAAAACCCCAGGUUUGUGCCCGGCACAGCAGUUGUCUGUCCGGAGUGAAGACACAGAAGCCAGAAGAGCUGCCCUCCCCACCAGGGUUCCAGCCUGGGGCUGUGAGUGCCGGGUCAGGAUUAUGGAGGGGCGUGAAGGCACCCACUCACCUCUGGAGGGUUGGAAGAGGGUGGUGUGAGGGGCUCCCUGAGACCUUGGCACAGGUGGGAGCUUCUGGAGUUGAGGUGUGUUUGCUGGUGCAGGCUUGUCGGGUGAGCUGUGUUGUGUGUAGCUCAGGUAGGGGGGAUGUAAGGUUGUCACUCAGGGUGCUGACAGCAUUGGACAGCCAGCUUGGGAGGAGGCCCUGGUUCAUAGUAUUUGCCCAUUGUUGUGAUGUAACUGUGCCCACCAUGGCAGAUUUCAGGGGACCAACCAGAUGUCAGCCAGCUCACAAACUUCCCCUAGUCUUGACUGUCUGCCCCGAGCGUCCGAAAGUGGCUGAUUCUUGGGGCCAGCGCUGGCUCCUCCCACAGCAGAGUUGCUGCCUGUGCCCUGAGGGCAGCCUCCAGCCCUGA
rnacentral:lncRNA from 1 species